rnacentral:rRNA from 1 species
UACGUAGGGGGCAAGCGUUGUCCGGAAUUAUUAGGCGUAAAGCGCGCGCAGGCGGUCAUUUAAGUCUGGUGUUUAAUCCCGGGGCUCAACCCCGGUUCGCAUUGGAAACUGGAUGACUUGAGUGUAAGAGAGGAAAGUGGAAUUCCACGUGUAGCGGUGAAAUGACGUAGAGAUGUGGAGGAACACCAGUGGCGAAGGCGACUUUCUGGUCUUAGUAACUGACGACUGAGGCUGGACGG